rnacentral:lncRNA from 1 species
UUGGGCUAACAAAAAGAAUUGGUUUUUCCGGAAUUCAAAAUCCUUGAGUCAAAAGAGCUAUCAUAGUAUUCCACAUUUAAGCAUAACUCUCUUCCUCACCAAUCUCACUCAAACCCAACUUUUUCCCUUUUUUUUUUCUUUUUGCAUUGAGCUCUUCUUCAUGCUUUUCUUCUUUUCUUUUAUUUUUCUCAUGAAUUUUUC